GAUGAACGCUGGCGGCGUGCCUAAUACAUGCAAGUCGAGCGAACGGACGAGAAGCUUGCUUCUCUGAUGUUAGCGGCGGACGGGUGAGUAACACGUGGAUAACCUACCUAUAAGACUGGGAUAACUUCGGGAAACCGGAGCUAAUACCGGAUGAUAUUUUGAACCGCAUGGUUCAAAAGUGAAAGACGGUCUUGCUGUCACUUAUAGAUGGAUCCGCGCUGCAUUAGCUAGUUGGUAAGGUAACGGCUUACCAAGGCAACGAUGCAUAGACGACCUGAGAGGGUGAUCGGCCACACUGGAACUGAGACACGGUCCAGACUCCUACGGGAGGCAGCAGUAGGGAAUCUUCCGCAAAGGGCGAAAGCCUGACGGAGCAACGCCGCGUGAGUGAUGAAGGUCUUCGGAUCGUAAAACUCUGUUAUUAGGGAAGAACAUAUGUGUAAGUAACUGUGCACAUCUUGACGGUACCUAAUCAGAAAGCCACGGCUAACUACGUG
rnacentral:rRNA from 1 species